UAAAUUGAGACCAAAAGUUUAGGUACUUAGCUGUUAACUAAGAUAUAGUGGGAUAAAUACCCUCCAAUUUAG
rnacentral:tRNA from 1 species